CUGCCUGCCUCAAACUGAAACCACAAGCCACACGUUUUUAUGAUAUAAAAACCAUCUGCUAAACACUGAAACUAUGAAUUGCAUGCACUAUAAAUAGUAUCUGCUGAUCCUGAACACUUGGGAAAAGAAGGAUGAGGUCUAAAAUGGGCAAGGAAUGAAAUUUGGACUGUUGAAGGACAAAUGUGCUGAUGAAUAAUACGAAACUUGGGUCCCCUUAGCCGCCGGCCACUGUGUUUCCACUCUCAAGUCAAAUCCCAGCUGGUUGAGUCUGUUGGAAGACUUGUAAAUAAACGAAUUCAGUCCCUACUGGCGACAGUGUGAUAUGGCACACGGUUAUUGCUGGAUCUGUUCAACAGAAAAGUAACCUAAAAGUGUUUUAGCACCUCAGUGACCAAAAUCAAGAUUAAUAUUCAUUUUUUUCUUUCUUAGCCAUUAUUAAAAAUUCUGCAGGGAUGUUCGACAACAUGAAGCAACAGCAGAUGCUCUUUGGCACAAGCUGCACCUUUUUGUUCAAGAACAAAUGACUGUGGGAGACAAGAAAGUCUUCGGUCCGGGUACUCGACUUUAUGUUACAGGAAAUACUGAGUCGCCAAAAGUGUCUGGAUACCUACCGUCAAAGAAAUCCAGUGACAAAGAUGACAUUCACACAAUGUUAUGCCACGCAAGAGACAUGAUUCCUGACUUGGUGAAAUUCACAUGGCAAAAAAAGAGCGGAACAAAAGAUUGGGAGGAUGUGAAUGAAAAUGUUGUUGAACAGAGUUACAAAGUUAAAGUAAAUAAUAAAGAUCAAGUUAAAGCAGUGUCAAGUAUGAUGAUUAUAGAUAAAAACACGGCCGAAAACAACGACUACCAAUGCAUUGUUACCCAUGAGGGAGUCAAUGAGAAACCCCAAACUCUUUUAAUGAAGAAAGAUGAAAUUAAGCCGCCAAUGGUUCCUACGAAGAAAAAUUGUCCAGCCACUGAUGAGACCAUAAAAAAUCAAAUAUCAGGAGAUUCGGAGCAAAUACGCAGUCUGUACGUGUUUGUCUAUGCAUAUGGUGUCAUGAUCAUGAAGAACGUACUGUAUUUUUUUGUUGUGACUAUCUUUCUAUUAAAGAGAAAAGCUGCAAGAAAGAAAGAUGAAACCUCUUAGAGAUUUAAUGCUAAUAUAAGAUAAAUAUCAAUUAAGCAAAGGUUAUUAGCAAGUUUCGCUGACUAAAGAAUAGAUACAUAUCUGCAGCUAUAUUAUCUCUGCUUAACUGUAUUGCUUUUACAUUUGUAGUAGGUUUUCUUUGCAUAGUUUAGUUUUGCAUAUUUGAAAUGUAUCAUUUAGAUUAUUAAAAAUGUGUAAUGUACCCAAAUUUUUAAAAUGUG